ACGCGUAUGUAAUCUGCCUUGUACAGAGGGAUAGCCCAGAGAAAUUUGGAUUAAUACCUCAUAGUAUUACUGAAUCGCAUGAUUUGGUAAUUAAAGCUCCGGCGGUACAAGAUGAACAUGCGUGACAUUAGCUAGUUGGUAAGGUAACGGCUUACCAAGGCCACGAUGUCUAGGGGUUCUGAGAGGAUGAUCCCCCACACUGGUACUGAGACACGGACCAGACUCCUACGGGAGGCAGCAGUGAGGAAUAUUGGUCAAUGGACGCAAGUCUGAACCAGCCAUCCCGCGUGAAGGAUGACUGCCCUAUGGGUUGUAAACUUCUUUUAUAUGCAAAUAAACCUACUUUCGUGAAAGUAGCUGAAGGUAGCAUAUGAAUAAACACCGGCUAACUCCGUGC
rnacentral:rRNA from 1 species